UUAAGCGACUAAGCGUACACGGUGGAUGCCCUGGCAGUCAGAGGCGAUGAAGGGCGUGCUAAUCUGCGAUAAGCGCCGGUAAGGUGAUAUGAACCGUUAUAACCGGCGAUACCCGAAUGGGGAAACCCAGUGUGACUCGUCACACUAUCAUUAACUGAAUCCAUAGGUUAAUGAGGCGAACCGGGGGAACUGAAACAUCUAAGUACCCCGAGGAAAAGAAAUCAACCGAGAUUCCCCCAGUAGCGGCGAGCGAACGGGGAGGAGCCCAGAGCCUGAAUCAGCAUGUGUGUUAGUGGAAGCGUCUGGAAAGGCGCGCGAUACAGGGUGACAGCCCCGUACACAAAAGCGCAUGUGCUGUGAGCUCGAUGAGUAGGGCGGGACACGUGGUAUCCUGUCUGAAUAUGGGGGGACCAUCCUCCAAGGCUAAAUACUCCUGACUGACCGAUAGUGAACCAGUACCGUGAGGGAAAGGCGAAAAGAACCCCGGCGAGGGGAGUGAAAAAGAACCUGAAACCGUGUACGUACAAGCAGUGGGAGCCCCACCACCAAAGCGUUUCGCUUUGUGUGGUGCACAAAGAAGCGUAACGACAGCACUGAAUGACGGUUAACGGAGCGCAAGCGACGUUCAACAUACAAAGUCAAGCAGUGGAGCGCUUUGGGGUGGGGUGACUGCGUACCUUUUGUAUAAUGGGUCAGCGACUUAUAUUCUGUAGCAAGGUUAACCGUAUAGGGGAGCCGGAGGGAAACCGAGUCUUAACCGGGCGUUAAGUUGCAGGGUAUAGACCCGAAACCCGGUGAUCUAGCCAUGGGCAGGUUGAAGGUUGGGUAACACUAACUGGAGGACCGAACCGACUAAUGUUGAAAAAUUAGCGGAUGACCUGUGGCUGGGGGUGAAAGGCCAAUCAAACCGGGAGAUAGCUGGUUCUCCCCGAAAGCUAUUUAGGUAGCGCCUCGUGAAUUCAUCUCCGGGGGUAGAGCACUGUUUCGGCUAGGGGGCCAUCCCGGCUUACCAACCCGAUGCAAACUGCGAAUACCGGAGAAUGUUAUCACGGGAGACACACGGCGGGUGCUAACGUCCGUCGUGAAGAGGGAAACAACCCAGACCGCCAGCUAAGGUCCCAAAGUCAUGGUUAAGUGGGAAACGAUGUGGGAAGGCCCAGACAGCCAGGAUGUUGGCUUAGAAGCAGCCAUCAUUUAAAGAAAGCGUAAUAGCUCACUGGUCGAGUCGGCCUGCGCGGAAGAUGUAACGGGGCUAAACCAUGCACCGAAGCUGCGGCAGCGACGCUUAUGCGUUGUUGGGUAGGGGAGCGUUCUGUAAGCCUGUGAAGGUGGCCUGUGAGGGUUGCUGGAGGUAUCAGAAGUGCGAAUGCUGACAUAAGUAACGAUAAAGCGGGUGAAAAGCCCGCUCGCCGGAAGACCAAGGGUUCCUGUCCAACGUUAAUCGGGGCAGGGUGAGUCGACCCCUAAGGCGAGGCCGAAAGGCGUAGUCGAUGGGAAACGGGUUAAUAUUCCCGUACUUGGUGUUACUGCGAAGGGGGGACGGAGAAGGCUAUGUUGGCCGGGCGACGGUUGUCCCGGUUUAAGCGUGUAGGUGUGUGUUCCAGGUAAAUCCGGUUCACUUUAACACUGAGGCGUGACGACGAGGCACUACGGUGCUGAAGCAACAAAUGCCCUGCUUCCAGGAAAAGCCUCUAAGCAUCAGGUAACAUCAAAUCGUACCCCAAACCGACACAGGUGGUCAGGUAGAGAAUACCAAGGCGCUUGAGAGAACUCGGGUGAAGGAACUAGGCAAAAUGGUGCCGUAACUUCGGGAGAAGGCACGCUGACANGUAGGUGAAGUGAUUUACUCAUGGAGCUGAAGUCAGUCGAAGAUACCAGCUGGCUGCAACUGUUUAUUAAAAACACAGCACUGUGCAAACACGAAAGUGGACGUAUACGGUGUGACGCCUGCCCGGUGCCGGAAGGUUAAUUGAUGGGGUCAGCGCAAGCGAAGCUCCUGAUCGAAGCCCCGGUAAACGGCGGCCGUAACUAUAACGGUCCUAAGGUAGCGAAAUUCCUUGUCGGGUAAGUUCCGACCUGCACGAAUGGCGUAAUGAUGGCCAGGCUGUCUCCACCCGAGACUCAGUGAAAUUGAACUCGCUGUGAAGAUGCAGUGUACCCGCGGCAAGACGGAAAGACCCCGUGAACCUUUACUAUAGCUUGACACUGAACAUUGAGCCUUGAUGUGUAGGAUAGGUGGGAGGCUUUGAAGUGUGGACGCCAGUCUGCAUGGAGCCGACCUUGAAAUACCACCCUUUAAUGUUUGAUGUUCUAACGUGGACCCGUGAUCCGGGUUGCGGACAGUGUCUGGUGGGUAGUUUGACUGGGGCGGUCUCCUCCUAAAGAGUAACGGAGGAGCACGAAGGUUGGCUAAUCCUGGUCGGACAUCAGGAGGUUAGUGCAAUGGCAUAAGCCAGCUUGACUGCGAGCGUGACGGCGCGAGCAGGUGCGAAAGCAGGUCAUAGUGAUCCGGUGGUUCUGAAUGGAAGGGCCAUCGCUCAACGGAUAAAAGGUACUCCGGGGAUAACAGGCUGAUACCGCCCAAGAGUUCAUAUCGACGGCGGUGUUUGGCACCUCGAUGUCGGCUCAUCACAUCCUGGGGCUGAAGUAGGUCCCAAGGGUAUGGCUGUUCGCCAUUUAAAGUGGUACGCGAGCUGGGUUUAGAACGUCGUGAGACAGUUCGGUCCCUAUCUGCCGUGGGCGCUGGAGAACUGAGGGGGGCUGCUCCUAGUACGAGAGGACCGGAGUGGACGCAUCACUGGUGUUCGGGUUGUCAUGCCAAUGGCACUGCCCGGUAGCUAAAUGCGGAAGAGAUAAGUGCUGAAAGCAUCUAAGCACGAAACUUGCCCCGAGAUGAGUUCUCCCUGAGACUUAGAGUCUCCUGAAGGAACGUUGAAGACGACGACGUUGAUAGGCCGGGUGUGUAAGCGCAGCGAUGCGUUGAGCUAACCGGUACUAAUGAACCGUGAGGCUUAACCUU
rnacentral:rRNA from 1 species